rnacentral:rRNA from 1 species
UACGUAGGGUGCGAGCGUUGUCCGGAAUUAUUGGGCGUAAAGAGCUUGUCGGCGGUUUGUCGCGUCUGCUGUGAAAUCUCAAGGCUCAACCUUGAGCUGGCAGUGGGUACGGGCAGGCUAGAGUGUGGUAGGGGAGACUGGAAUUCCUGGUGUAGCGGUGAAAUGCGCAGAUAUCAGGAGGAACACCGAAGGCGAAGGCAGGUCUCUGGGCCACUACUGACGCUGAGAAGCGAAAGCAUGGGGAGCGAACAGG